GCCAAAGUGGCGGAACUGGCAGACGCACUAGACUCAAAAUCUAGCGUUCUUAACGAACGUGCGGGUUCGACUCCCGCCUUUGGUA
rnacentral:tRNA from 1 species